CCUACGGGUGGCAGCAGUGAGGAAUAUUGGUCAAUGGACGCAAGUCUGAACCAGCCAUGCCGCGUGCAGGAAGACGGCUCUAUGAGUUGUAAACUGCUUUUGUACGAGGGUAAACGCAGAUACGCGUACCUGUCUGAAAGUAUCCUACGAAUAAGGAUCGGCUAACCCCGUUCCUGCAGCCGCGGCAAUACGGAGGAUUCAAGCGUUAUCCGGAUUUAUUGGGUUUAAAGGGGGCGUAGGCGGUCGGAUAAGUUAGAGGUGAAAUCCCGAGGCUCAACUUCGGAAUUGCCUAUGAUACUGUUAGGCUAGAGAGUAGUUGCGGUAGGCGGAAUGUAUGGUGUAGCGGUGAAAUGCUUAGAGAUCAUACAGAACACCGAUUGCGAAGGCAGCUUACCAAGCUACAUCUGACGUUGAGGCACGAAGGCGUGGGGAGCGAAAAGGAUUAGAUACCCCUGUAGUC
rnacentral:rRNA from 1 species